rnacentral:rRNA from 1 species
UACAGAGGGUGCAAGCGUUGUUCGGAAUCAUUGGGCGUAAAGGGCGCGUAGGCGGGCAUCCAAGUCUGUGGUGAAAUCCGGCAGCUUAACUGUCGAACUGCCGUGGAUACUGGGUGUCUCGAGGGAGGUAGGGGCGUGCGGAACUAUUGGUGGAGCGGUGAAAUGCGUUGAUAUCAAUAGGAACUCCGGUGGCGAAGGCGGCACGCUGGACCUCUUCUGACGCUGAGGCGCGAAAGCCAGGGGAGCAAACGGG